rnacentral:rRNA from 1 species
AGAGUUUGAUCCUGGCUCAGACGAACGCUGGCGGCGUGCCUAACACAUGCAAGUCGAGCGGGGAUAUGUCAGAUGAGAGCUUCGGCAGGAUUCGGGCAUAUUCUAGCGGCGGACGGGUGAGUAACGCGUGAACAAUCUGUCCCGUACAGGGGGAUAACACUUGGAAACAGGUGCUAAUACCGCAUAAGACCACAGCAUCGCAUGGUGCGGGGGUCAAAGGAGCGAUCCGGUAAGGGGUGAGUUCGCGUCUGAUUAGCUAGUUGGUGAGGUAACGGCCCACCAAGGCGACGAUCAGUAGCCGACCUGAGAGGGUGAUCGGCCACAUUGGAACUGAGACACGGUCCAAACUCCUACGGGAGGCAGCAGUGGGGAAUAUUGGGCAAUGGGCGAAUUUUUUGAUUCAGCAACGCCGCGUGAGGGAAGAAGGUUUUCGGAUUGUAAACCUCUGUUGUGGAUGACGAAGGAAGUGACGGUAAUCCACAAGGGAGCCCCGGCUAACUACGUGCCAGCAGCCGCGGUAAUACGUAGGGGGCGAGCGUUGUCCGGAAUGACUGGGCGUAAAGGGCGCGUAGGCGGUCUGGUAAGUUAGGAGUGAAAUUCCAUUUUUCAAGGAUGGAACUGCUUUUAAUACUGCCGGGCUUGAGUGCAGAAGAGGUAAGCGGAAUUCCCAGUGUAGCGGUGAAAUGCGUAGAGAUUGGGAAGAACACCAGUGGCGAAGGCGGCUUACUGGGCUGUAACUGACGCAGAGGCGCGAAAGCGUGGGGAGCGAACAGGAUUAGAUACCCUGGUAGUCCACGCUGUAAACGAUGAAUGCUAGGUGUAGGGGGUAUCGACCCCUCCUGUGCCGGAGUAAACGCAAUAAGCAUUCCGCCUGGGGAGUACGGCCGCAAGGUUGAAACUCAAAGGAAUUGACGGGGGCCCGCACAAGCAGCGGAGCAUGUGGUUUAAUUCGACGCAACGCGAAGAACCUUACCAGGUCUUGACAUCGAUCUAAACUGCCAGAGACGGCAGGUCCCUUCGGGGGAGAGAAGACAGGUGGUGCAUGGUUGUCGUCAGCUCGUGUCGUGAGAUGUUGGGUUAAGUCCCGCAACGAGCGCAACCCUUAUGAUCAGUUACUAACACGUAGAGGUGAGGACUCUGAUGAGACCGCCGGGGACAACUCGGAGGAAGGUGGGGACGACGUCAAAUCAUCAUGCCCCUUACGCCCUGGGCUACACACGUGCUACAAUGGUGGAAACAAAGAGGAGCGAAGUCGCAAGGCGGAGCGGAUCUCAAAAAAACCAUCUCAGUUCGGAUUGUGGGCUGCAACCCGCCCACAUGAAGUUGGAGUUGCUAGUAAUCGCGGAUCAGAAUGCCGCGGUGAAUACGUUCCCGGGCCUUGUACACACCGCCCGUCACACCAUGGGAGUUGGGAGCACCCGAAGUCAGUGUGGUAACCGGAAACGGGGCCAGCUGCCGAAGGUGAGACUGAUGACUGCAAAAAGUCGUAACAAGGUAACC